UGGUGAUCCGCUGCUUAUUAGUGUACUUCUCCGAAAGUGUAGAUGAUCUUAUUAAGGAUUACCAUGGUGCUCCAUCUGAUGAAGUAAAAGAGGAUCUUGCACAGCAUACAAUCAAAAUUGUCACCAAAGGUGGUUCUACGGAGGAUGACCCGUUGGAUGUUGGGAUUGUGCUGGAAGGCAGAGAAGUACUGUCUGGGUUGUCCAGUGUAGCAAGGGCGUGUGCCUUGUUACUAGGUCUGAUCUAUGCUGUGAACCUUAGUUACCCCAAACAACUCAGGUACACGUUUGAAUUUUGUCAAAAGAUGCUGUUAGAACUGGACAGUGGGAAACUUUCACCAAAAGUGCACGCACUGAAGUCCAAGUUGCUGAGUUAAAUGUGUGGAUAUCAGUGUCUCAAAAGAGGUAUGUGCAAGUUGCUAAGCAGUAGGUCUCAGGGACUUUUGUUUUGUGUAAAGUGAUGCUAUUUUUGGCUAAUGACAUGUUGUCAUGUUGUAAUAUUGAAACAUUGUCUUGACUACAACUUUCAGUUUGUUUUAUGCACUUUAUAGGCUAACAGCAGUGAAAAAAAAAUAUUUUAAAUGGAUUUUCUUUAGUUUUGUGUAACUUGCUGCAAUUUAUGGUCACUGAUGUUGUUGGCAUAUUCUAAUGACAGUGUUGUCUUUGUAAGAAGUUGUCAGUUUAUUGUUUGCACUGUAGUUCCCCCCCCCC